rnacentral:rRNA from 1 species
UACGAAGGGGGCUAGCGUUGCUCGGAAUUACUGGGCGUAAAGCGCACGUAGGCGGCUUUCUAAGUCGGGGGUGAAAUCCUGGAGCUCAACUCCAGAACUGCCUUCGAUACUGGAGAGCUUGAGUCCGGGAGAGGGUGAGUGGAACUGCGAGUGUAGAGGUGAAAUUCGUAGAUAUUCGGCAAGAACACCAGUGGCGAAGGCGGCUCACUGGCCCGGUACUGACGCUGAGGCGCGAAAGCGUGGGGAGCAAAC